rnacentral:rRNA from 1 species
AUUGAACGCUGGCGGCAGGCCUAACACAUGCAAGUCGAGCGGAUGAAGGGAGCUUGCUCCUGGAUUCAGCGGCGGACGGGUGAGUAAUGCCUAGGAAUCUGCCUGGUAGUGGGGGAUAACGUCCGGAAACGGGCGCUAAUACCGCAUACGUCCUGAGGGAGAAAGUGGGGGAUCUUCGGACCUCACGCUAUCAGAUGAGUCUGGGUCGGAUUAGCUAGUUGGUGGGGUAAAGGCCUACCAAGGCGACGAUCCGUAACUGGUCUGAGAGGAUGAUCAGUCACACUGGAACUGAGACACGGUCCAGACUCCUACGGGAGGCAGCAGUGGGGAAUAUUGGACAAUGGGCGAAAGCCUGAUCCAGCCAUGCCGCGUGUGUGAAGAAGGUCUUCGGAUUGUAAAGCGCUUUAAGUUGGGAGGAAGGGCAGUAAGUUAAUACCUUGCUGUUUUGACGUUACCAACAGAAUAAGCACCGGCUAACUUCGUG